UACGAAGGGGGCUAGCGUUGUUCGGAUUUACUGGGCGUAAAGCGCUCGUAGGCGGCUUGUUAAGUCAGGGGUGAAAUCCCGGAGCUCAACUCCGGAACUGCCUUUGAUACUGGCAAUCUUGAGGCUGGAAGAGGUUAGUGGAAUUCCCAGUGUAGAGGUGAAAUUCGUAGAUAUUGGGAAGAACACCAGUGGCGAAGGCGGCUAACUGGUCCAGAUCUGACGCUGAGGUGCGAAAGCGUGGGGAGCAAACAGG
rnacentral:rRNA from 1 species